rnacentral:misc_RNA from 1 species
UCAAACUUGGUCAUUUAGAGGAAGUAAAAGUCGUAACAAGGUUUCCGUAGGUGAACCUGCGGAAGGAUCAUUAUUGAAUCCACAGGAUGUCGCUGGCCGCCCCAAAAGGGUGGCAUGUGCACUCCGCCUUCAACCCACCUGUGCACUUAUCGUAGGUCAAAGAGAGGAAACCCCUUUGCCUAUGCUUUUUACACACACGUUAUUAGUAUCAGAAUGUAACAAAGUAGACCUUUUGGUCGAAAUAACAAUACAACUUUCAACAACGGAUCUCUUGGUUCUCGCAUCGAUGAAGAACGCAGC